UUAAAAUCUAUUUUAACUAUUAUACACUUUUUGCUUAAUAAACUGAUUUUAAAAUUGUGUAUUCACAAACACAUAAUAACAGUCAAAUAACUAUGAAACAUUUUUAGCCGGCAAUUCCGGCUAUUUGACAAUGUCAAAUUAUUAAUAAAAAUAUACAACGCAUUCAUGUUUUCAAGUUAUUAGUGCCGCUUUUUUGAAUAAACGAAAGGAAAAUUAAAAAAAAAAAUGGAUCCACCGCAGUAUUCAAAGCUGUUGUUAUCCGAAAUUAGUAAUGAAGGAGAUGGAGACAAGACGCCAAUGAAAUUUGGAGAAAAGCGACACAGAUCUGAAAAUUGGAAUGACGAGGACAGGGAACUGCUAAAGGAUCUUAUAAAAAAGAGGGUGAAAGUAAUUGAAAAUAAGAAUACAGACACCAACACCAACAAAUUGAAAAAGGCAGCAUGGAUGGAGCUUGUGGAUGAUUUUAACUCUUUGUGUACAAGUGGAAUACGGAAUCUAACCCAGCUAAGGUCACAGUGGUCUACAAUAAAAAUGACAGCAAAAAAGGAAAUGUUAUCGUAUCGUAAGCAGGCUAAGCUGACUGGCGGUGGGCCACCAACAUCACUAGUUGCACUUUCGGGCAAUGACAUUGCAGUUUGGCUGCCGGAAGAGUUUGUUAUUGAUGAUAACGAGUUUGAUUCCGACGUCAUAUUUUCAAAGAUUAUUCAAGAAACGCAAGAGGAUGCUAUAGUAAAAACUUCACCUCAAGAUGUGAAACCACUUAAAAUUAAUGAUGAUAAGGAUUCACAAGAGAAUCUUAUUGAAAAAACUCCCUUGAUAGACGCGACUCUUAAUGAAAUCAAUGGUGAUAAAAAAAAGUAAAGCACAAUGUGAAAUAGGUCGUGAUCUGAUCACAAAACAAGCAUCAAAUAAAAACGAAUAUAAAAGGAAAAAAAUGAAAGAUGCUUCUGAGAAAACCAAUAGUGUGGACGAAAAUCUUGUCAAAAUUGCAGAAGUGGAUGUGGCAUGUCGG